GAUGAAGAACGCAGCGAAAUGCGAUAAGUAAUGUGAAUUGCAGAAUUCAGUGAAUCAUCGAAUCUUUGAACGCACAUUGCGCCCGCCAGUAUUCUGGCGGGCAUGCCUGUUCGAGCGUCAUUUCAACCAUCAAGCCCUGCUUGCGUUGGGGUCCUGCGGCUGCCCGCAGGCCCUGAAAACCAGUGGCGGGCUCGCUAGUCACACCGAGCGCAGUAAUACAUCUCGCUUUGGGCGUGCGGCGGGUUCUUGCCGUUAAACACCCACUUUUUACCAAGGUUGACCUCGGAUCAGGUAGGAAUACCCGCUGAACUUAAGCAUAUCAAUAAGCGGAGGA
rnacentral:misc_RNA from 1 species